GCCAGUAUGGUGGACAUGAUCCUCGGUUUGUAAUCGAGUGAGUUUGGGUUCGAAUCCCGAGUAAGGCA